rnacentral:rRNA from 1 species
UCCUCUCUAAACUUUUGCGUAAAAGAAGGAAUUUUAAUUCAACAUCGAGGUCAUAAACUCACUUGUCAAUUUGAUCUUUCUAAGUGAAUUAAGCUGUUAUCCCUAAAGUAACUUAUUUCUUUUUUAGAAAUUCUAGGUAUUAAAACUAGUUAGUUUACUUUUUUAAAAAAAGAGUUUUUUCUCACCGCCCCAGCGAAAUACUUUUCCUUUUUAUUCUUUAAGAAAAAAUAUAAAGUUUUAUAGGGUCUUCUUGUCUAAAAGAAUUAUUUUAGCCUUUUUACUAAAAAGUAAAAUUCAUUUUUUAAAAUAAAAAGAAAUUCUCUUGGUUUACUCUUUCAUUCCAGUCUCAAAUUAAAAGA